UACGUAGGGGGCAAGCGUUGUCCGGAAUCAUUGGGCGUAAAGCGCGCGUAGGCGGCGCGGUAUGUCGUGCGUGAAAUCUCCCGGCUUAACUGGGAGGGGCCGUGCGAAACUGCCGGGCUUGAGGUCGGAAGGGGAAAGUGGAAUUCCGGGUGUAGUGGUGGAAUACGUAGAUAUCCGGAGGAACACCAGCGGCGAAGGCGGCUUUCUGGUCCGAUACUGACGCUGAGGUGCGAAAGCGUGGGGAGCGAUCCGG
rnacentral:rRNA from 1 species